ensembl:snoRNA
CUGUUAUAUACAGCCCCUUUUGGACGUGACCAUAAAAAAAACUUCCACUAGGUUUUCUAUCUGCUACUUUGCUAGCACUCAGCCUACUGGGGACAUUU